rnacentral:rRNA from 1 species
GGUAACGAGCGUCAACCCUUGCUGUUAGUUACAAGGUGUCUAACGGGGACUGCCGGUUUAAUACCGGAGGAAGGUGGGGAUGACGUCAAGUCAGCAUGGCCUCUAUGGUCCAGGGCUACACACGUGCUACAGUGGGGGGUACAGAGGGUUGCCAAGCCGCGAGGUGGAGCUAAUCCCAUAAAACCUCUCGUAGUCCGGAUUGGAGUCUGCAACUCGACUCCAUGAAGUCGGAAUCGCUAGUAAUCGCGAAUCAGAACGUCGCGGUGAAUACGUUCCCGGGCCUU